UGCAUGUCUAAGUAUAAGCAACUAUACUGUGAAACUGCGAAUGGCUCAUUAAAUCAGUUAUCGUUUAUUUGAUAGUACCUUACUACUUGGAUAACCGUGGUAAUUCUAGAGCUAAUACAUGCUAAAAACCUCGACUUCGGAAGGGGUGUAUUUAUUAGAUAAAAAACCAAUGCCCUUCGGGGCUCACUGGUGAUUCAUAAUAACUUAACGAAUCGCAUGGCCUUGUGCCGGCGAUGGUUCAUUCAAAUUUCUGCCCUAUCACCUUUCGAUUGUUGGAUAGUGGCCAACAAUGGGUUCAACGGGUAACGGGGAAUUAGGGUUCUAUUCCGGAGAGGGAGCCUGAGAAACGGCUACCACAUCCAAGGAAGGCAGCAGGCGCGCAAAUUACCCAAUCCCGACACGGGGAGGUAGUGACAAUAAAUACUGAUACAGGGCUCUUUUGGGUCUUGUAAUUGGAAUGAGUACAAUUUAAAUCCCUUAACGAGGAACAAUUGGAGGGCAAGUCUGGUGGACAUUGGCGUCCUGAGGUGUUAAAACCUCUUAUUGCUGACGCCAGAAAGAGAAGAACUUCGGUUCUACUAGUCGACUAUACUACAAGCUUUGGGUGUAUAGCGGCAAGACAACCUGGAUCGGGGGAGGCUAAGGGCGCAAGCCUAUGCUAACCCCGAGCCGAGCUACUGGAGGGCAACCCCCAGAUAGCCGGUGUAGAGCGCGGAAAGGUGUCGGUCAUCCUAUCUGAUAGGUGGCUUGAGGGACGUGCCGUCUCACCCGAAAGGGUGUUUCUAAGGAGGAGCUCCCAAAGGGCAAAUCUUAGAGAAGGGUGUAUACCCUAUAAUUUAACGGCCAGCAGCCGCGGUAAUUCCAGCUCCAAUAGCGUAUAUUAAAGUUGUUGCAGUUAAAAAGCUCGUAGUUGAACCUUGGGCCUGGCUGGCCGGUCCGCCUCACCGCGUGCACUGGUCCGGCCGGGUCUUUCCUUCUGGGGAGCCGCAUGCCCUUCACUGGGUGUGUCGGGGAACCAGGACUUUUACUUUGAAAAAAUUAGAGUGUUCAAAGCAGGCCUAUGCUCGAAUACAUUAGCAUGGAAUAAUAGAAUAGGACGUGUGGUUCUAUUUUGUUGGUUUCUAGGACCGCCGUAAUGAUUAAUAGGGAUAGUCGGGGGCGUCAGUAUUGCGUUGUCAGAGGUGAAAUUCUUGGAUUUACGCAAGACUAACUACUGCGAAAGCAUUCGCCAAGGAUGUUUUCAUUAAUCAGUGAACGAAAGUUAGGGGAUCGAAGACGAUCAGAUACCGUCGUAGUCUUAACCAUAAACUAUGCCGACUAGGGAUCGGGCGAUGUUAUCUUUUUGACUCGCUCGGCACCUCACGAGAAAUCAAAGUCUUUGGGUUCUGGGGGGAGUAUGGUCGCAAGGCUGAAACUUAAAGAAAUUGACGGAAAGGCACCACCAGGCGUUAGCAACUCUGCGCCGAAUAGCAGCCCGGAAGGUAGAUGGUGCCUAUAACAUGCUAGUCUUGGGCUUACCCCCAAGGCGACACCCCUAAAUUGCGGGGACUCCCUAAAGCUCUCGCUACCGCCCCGGCGCCGAAAGGCUGCAGGCACCGGGUUAACAACCACGGGUAUGGUCAAAACGCGAGAGAUGUCACAAUGGGUAAUCCGCAGCCAAGUCCCUACCGGCCCGUACGGCCAGGGGAAAGGUUCAGAGACUAAAUAGGGAUGGGCGAUCUGGUAUCGCUUAAGAGAUAGUCCGGCGGUAGGUCAACACCUACGACGAAUAAACGGGAGCCUGCGGCUUAAUUUGACUCAACACGGGGAAACUCACCAGGUUAACUACAGUUACGUCUGGGCCUGGAAUAGUUAUUUGACAACUAGUACACGCCUUUACUUGUGUGGGAGAAGUCUCCCAAUUUUGGACACAAGGCCUUCUCCGGAGGGUUUGGCGGUGCGACACUACCUGGUACAGGGGACGCCUCGCUGGAGUGAUCCGGCAGGCCGACUCUGUGGCGAGCUCGAGUAACGUCGAGCCGUCGCAACGCGCGGAAAGGAGUGGGUUCGCUGGAUCUCAGCGGGCUUAAGGUACGUGCUAAUCCCAUGGGAAACCAUGCUCAGUGACGGAGGUCCAAAUGCCAAAGUCACCGGGGUUUCAGAGAUGGAACGGUAUGGUGGGAUCAUUUCGAUGAUCUCAAGUUGCCAGACAUAAUAAGGAUUGACAGAUUGAGAGCUCUUUCUUGAUUUUAUGGGUGGUGGUGCAUGGCCGUUCUUAGUUGGUGGAGUGAUUUGUCUGCUUAAUUGCGAUAACGAACGAGACCUUAACCUGCUAAAUAGCCAGGCUAGCUUAGGCUGGUCGCCGGCUUCUUAGAGGGACUAUCGGCUCAAGCCGAUGGAAGUUUGAGGCAAUAACAGGUCUGUGAUGCCCUUAGAUGUUCUGGGCCGCACGCGCGCUACACUGACAGAGCCAACGAGUUCAUCACCUUGCCCGAAAGGGUUGGGUAAUCUUGUUAAACUCUGUCGUGCUGGGGAUAGAGCAUUGCAAUUAUUGCUCUUCAACGAGGAAUGCCUAGUAAGCGCAAGUCAU
rnacentral:rRNA from 1 species